GACGUAGGGGGCCAGCGUUGUUCGGAAUUACUGGGUGUAAAGGGUUCGUAGGCGGUGUAGCAAGUCGGGAGUGAAAUCUCUGGGCUUAACCCAGAGGCUGCUUCCGAAACUGCUGUGCUUGAGUGUGGGAGAGGCGCGUAGAAUUGCAGGUGUAGCGGUGAAAUGCGUAGAUAUCGAGAGGAACACCAGUGGCGAAGGCGAGUCCCUGGACAACACCUGACACUGAGGCACGAAAGCUAGGGGAGCAAACAGG
rnacentral:rRNA from 1 species